AUUGAACGCUGGCGGCAGGCCUAACACAUGCAAGUCGAGCGAGCGGCGGACGGGUGAGUAAUGUCUGGGAAACUGCCUGAUGGAGGGGGAUAACUACUGGAAACGGUAGCUAAUACCGCAUACCAUCAGAUAUGCCCAGAUGGGAUUAGCUAGUGGGUGGGGUAACGGCUCACCUAGGCGACGAUCCCUAGCUGGUCUGAGAGGAUGACCAGACACACUGGAACUUAGACCGGGUCCAGUCUCGUAUGAGGGGUAGCAGGGGGUAAUAUUGCACAAUGGGCGAAAGCCUGAUGCAGCCAUGCGGCGUGUGUGAAGAAGGCCUUCGGGUGGUAAAGCACUGGAAGCGGGGAGGCGUUACCCGCAGAAGAAGCACCGGCUAACUCCGUGCCAGCAGCCGCGGUAAUUC
rnacentral:rRNA from 1 species